rnacentral:rRNA from 1 species
GCGAACGGGUGAGUAACACGUGAGUAACCUGCCCCCUUCUUUGGGAUAACGGUCGGAAACGGCUGCUAAUACCGGGUAUUCACUGUCCUUCGCAUGGGGGGUGGUGGAAAGGUUUUUUCUGGUGGGGGAUGGGCUCGCGGCCUAUCAGCUUGUUGGUGGGGUGAUGGCUUACCAAGGCUUUGACGGGUAACCGGCCUGAGAGGGUGACCGGUCACAUUGGGACUGAGAUACGGCCCAGACUCCUACGGGAGGCAGCAGUGGGGAAUAUUGCACAAUGGGCGAAAGCCUGAUGCAGCGACGCCGCGUGAGGGAUGACGGCCUUCGGGUUGUAAACCUCUUUCGCUCAUGGUCAAGCCGCAACAGUGGUUGUGGUGAGGGUAGUGGGUAAAGAAGCACCGGCUAACUACGUGCCAGCAGCCGCGGUAAUACGUAGGGUGCGAGCGUUGUCCGGAAUUAUUGGGCGUAAAGGGCUUGUAGGCGGUUUGUCGCGUCUGCCGUGAAAUCCUCUGGCUUAACUGGGGGCGUGCGGUGGGUACGGGCAGGCUUGA